GGUGGAGUUGUUAUAUAUGACUGUUUUGUAUGCUUCCCAUUUCUUGUUGGGUUAAUUUUACUUGACUGCUUCAAGAUAAAAACUUGCAAGUCUCCUUUGCGGAGCCGGCGAAAAAUGCCUCACGGUUUGUCUGAUGGUGUCUCCGCCAUGGAGGUCUUCUUCACAACACUCCCUAGGGAGAUAUCUGUUUCUCUCUCGCCCAUGCCAAACAGCAACUUGAACCGGAUACUAUCCGCCGCUGUGAUCUCCACCGCGUCACUAUCUCUCAAACCCAUGCCAGCUUUUGCAAAAAUAUCCCAUCCUGAGCUGCUGAACUUUGAGGUUCAGGAGAAUCAAGCACUGUGCUACUCCACACAACCCAACAGGUAAGUGAUACUUAGUCUAUAACAGCUUCUCGGCUGACUUUGAUUUUCAAUAUUAUUUAGCCAACUCUCGCUUCAAUCAAUAGACCACAGAUCGAAAAUGAAAUGAAAGAUCACCCCAUGUGGCGUUUAGAUUGUUGGAAAUCACCCCCUCCUUCUUUGUCAUUUCUGGAUUCAGUCACCUGAAAUUCCUGCAGGUGGGAAGUUGCCCGAUCAAGGUGAAUUUCCAUUAUGAUUUCUAUGAAAGCUCUGAAAGGCCUAGUCGAUGGGGCAAUUAUGGGAGUAAAAAGAAUUCCAAGCGAAAACUUGAAGAGAUUUACCUGUGCAAGCAUAAUUUUGGAAAAGGAUUCGAGAAAGGAAUAGAAGGUAUGCGAGAGGGAGGAAUAAGGAAGAUUUUUGUGCCCAAAGAAUUUUCACCUGGCGAAAAUCCGGGGGCUUUUUACGUGGAGUUGCUUCAAGUUUGCCCAUCAGUGCAAUGUCACAUUAGAAAUAAAUUUCCGUGAUAUAUAGUUUUUUAAUUCUUAAAUA